rnacentral:tRNA from 1 species
GGAUAGGUGACAGAGUGAUUUAUUGUAGCGGUCUUGAAAACCGCCGAACGUUAGUAGCGUUCCGUAGGUUUGAAUCCUACCCUAUCCG